GAUGAACGCUAGCGGCAGGCUUAAUACAUGCAAGUCGAGGGACAGCACAGGUAGCAAUACUGGGUGGUAACCGGCAAACGGGUGCGGAACACGUACACAACCUUCCUUUAAGUGGGGGAUAGCCCAGAGAAAUUUGGAUUAAUACCCCGUAAUAUAGUUGAAUGGCAUCAUUUGAUUAUUAUAGCUACGGCGCUUAAUGAUGGGUGUGCGGCUGAUUAGAUAGUGGGCGGGGUAACGGCCCACCAAGUCUACGAUCAGUAGCUGAUGUGAGAGCAUGGUCAGCAACACGGGCACUGAGACACGGGCCCGACUCCUACGGGGGGCAGCAGUAAGGAAUAUUGGUCAAUGGACGCAAGUCUGAACCAGCCAUGCCGCGGGAAGGAUUGAGGUCCUCUGGAUUGUAAACUUCUUUUAUUUGGGACGAAAAAGGGCCUUUCUAGGUCAACUGACGGUACCAGAUGAAUAAGCACCGGCUAACUCCGUGCCAGCAGCCGCAGUAAAAC
rnacentral:rRNA from 1 species